rnacentral:rRNA from 1 species
AGUGAACGCUGGCGGCAGGCCUAACACAUGCAAGUCGAACGGCAGCACGGCAGUAGCAAUACUGUGGGUGGCGAGUGGCGGACGGGUGAGGAAUACAUCGGAAUCUGCCUAGUCGUGGGGGAUAACGUAGGGAAACUUACGCUAAUACCGCAUACGACCUACGGGUGAAAGCGGGGGAUCGCAAGACCUCGCGCGAUUAGAUGAGCCGAUGUCCGAUUAGCUAGUUGGCGGGGUAAUGGCCCACCAAGGCGACGAUCGGUAGCUGGUCUGAGAGGAUGAUCAGCCACACUGGAACUGAGACACGGUCCAGACUCCUACGGGAGGCAGCAGUGGGGAAUAUUGGACAAUGGGCGCAAGCCUGAUCCAGCCAUGCCGCGUGGGUGAAGAAGGCCUCGGUUGUAAG